rnacentral:ribozyme from 1 species
GUCAUCCUCCCGUCUUUCAAGCAGUGUUGAUAUAUAUUCUUUUGGGAUGACAGUCUGGCAGCUUCUGCAUAGUGAUGAUCCCUUUCCGAAUCACUGGACGCUUCCAGUAACAAUUGAUGCCAUUC